UACAGAGGUCUCAAGCGUUGUUCGGAUUCAUUGGGCGUAAAGGGUGUGUAGGUGGCGCGCUAAGUCGGGUGUGAAAUUUCGGAGCUUAACUCCGAAACUGCAUUCGAUACUGGCGUGCUUGAGGACUGGAGAGGAGACUGGAAUUCAUGGUGUAGCGGUGGAAUGCGCAGAUAUCAGGAGGAACACCGGUGGCGAAGGCGGGUCUCUGGGCAGUAACUGACGCUGAGGAGCGAAAGCGUGGGGAGCGAACAGG
rnacentral:rRNA from 1 species